rfam:Grosmannia clavigera kw1407 unplaced genomic scaffold GCSC_160, whole genome shotgun sequence.
UCCGAUAUGGUGUAGUGGACAACAUCUGACGUUUUCACCGUCGAGCCCGGGGUUCGAUUCCCCGUAUCGGAG